GCCCCUCUAGUGAUCUUUGCUGCCGGCAAAAUACAAAACCUCCUCGGUCGGCAGUCAUUCAUGAAACGGAAUUAUGCUUCAGGAAGCCAGAAAAGGAAGAAGAGAAAGGAAGAGGAGGAUAAGAAAAAACAAGAUAGUGGUGCUUUGCUUAAAUUUCUCAGCCCUCAGGCUCUUCCUAAGGAUACCUCCACUGAUGAAGCUACACCAUCAACUUCAUCCUCAACAUCAACAGAUGCAUCACUUCUCAGUGCUGAUGUUUCCUCUAUAGCACAAUACCACCACCACAAUCUCUAUAAUUAUAGCUGAUAUCCUGCA